AUGGGGACGCGGGCAAUGGCUCUUCCUACAACGCCAAGGACCUGCGUCCGUUGGCCUUGCCGCCGUCCGACUAUGUGCAUGGUUGUUCGUGUCGAUCGGCACCGGACAAGGCGGCAGGCGGAAGGUCCUUGCGCUCGACACUGCCGCCAGCACGUCAUGGGUGAUGUGUUGAGCCGUGUCGUCCACCGCUGCAUCAAGUUGGCAGACUCUUCUUGCCCGCCGCGUCACCCACGUUUCGUGGUGUCCGCAGGGAUGACCCUGUUUGCGUCCCACCUUACCGCCGCAUCCACUCGGCCAACAGGUGCUCCUUUGCCUUCCCUUCCGCCACCGGGUACCUCGCACGCGACACCUUCCACCUGA
rnacentral:rRNA from 1 species